rnacentral:rRNA from 1 species
GACGAACGCUGGCGGCGUGCUUAACACAUGCAAGUCGAACGGAAAGGCCCUGCUUUUGUGGGGUGCUCGAGUGGCGAACGGGUGAGUAACACGUGAGUAACCUGCCCUUGACUUUGGGAUAACUUCAGGAAACUGGGGCUAAUACCGGAUAGGAGCUCCUGCUGCAUGGUGGGGGUUGGAAAGUUUCGGCGGUUGGGGAUGGACUCGCGGCUUAUCAGCUUGUUGGUGGGGUAGUGGCUUACCAAGGCUUUGGCGGGUAGCCGGCCUGAGAGGGUGACCGGCCACAUUGGGACUGAGAUACGGCCCAGACUCCUACGGGAGGCAGCAGUGGGGAAUAUUGCACAAUGGGCGGAAGCCUGAUGCAGCAACGCCGCGUGCGGGAUGACGGCCGUCGGGUUGUAAACCGCUUUCGCCUGUGACGAAGCGUGAGUGACGGUAAUGGGUAAAGAAGCACCGGCUAACUACGUG